GGCUCGGCCUCACGCAGCGAAACUGCGGUGAACCGGGUCAGACCAGGAAUGGAGCAGCUCUAAGUUGCGGCUUUCGGGUGCCGUGGUGGUCCGGGCCUCC
rnacentral:SRP_RNA from 1 species